CCUACGGGUGGCAGCAGUGGGGGAUAUUGCACAAUGGGGGAAACCCUGAUGCAGCGACGCCGCGUGUGGGAAGACGGUCCUCUGGAUUGUAAACCACUGUCCCCAGGGACGAAGAUGACGGUACCUGGGGAGGAAGCUCCGGCUAACUACGUGCCAGCAGCCGCGGUAAUACGUAGGGAGGGAGCGUUGUGCGGAAUUACUGUGGGUAAAGGGAGCGUAGGCGGGUGAGCAAGUUGGGGGUAAAAACUACCGGCUCAACUGGUAGUCGCACUCAAACCUGCAGCUCUUGAGUGAAGUAGAGGCAGGAGGCAUGCCUAGUGUAGCGGUGAAAUGCGUAGAUAUUAGGAGGAACACCAGUGGCGAAGGCGGCCUGCUGGGCUUUUACUGACGCUGAGGCUCGAAAGUGUGGGGAGCAAACAGGAUUAGAUACCCUUGUAGUC
rnacentral:rRNA from 1 species